AUUGAACGCUGGCGGCAGGCCUAACACAUGCAAGUCGAACGGUAACAGGAAGCAGCUUGCUGCUUCGCUGACGAGUGGCGGACGGGUGAGUAAUGUCUGGGAAGCUGCCUGAUGGAGGGGGAUAACUACUGGAAACGGUAGCUAAUACCGCAUAAUGUCGCAAGACCAAAGAGGGGGACCUUCGGGCCUCUUGCCAUCGGAUGUGCCCAGAUGGGAUUAGCUUGUUGGUGGGGUAACGGCUCACCAAGGCGACGAUCCCUAGCUGGUCUGAGAGGAUGACCAGCCACACUGGAACUGAGACACGGUCCAGACUCCUACGGGAGGCAGCAGUGGGGAAUAUUGCACAAUGGGCGCAAGCCUGAUGCAGCCAUGCCGCGUGUAUGAAGAAGGCCUUCGGGUUGUAAAGUACUUUCAGCGGGGAGGAAGGGAGUAAAGUUAAUACCUUUGCUCAUUGACGUUACCCGAAGAAGAAGCACCGGCUAACUCCGU
rnacentral:rRNA from 1 species